rnacentral:lncRNA from 1 species
CACUUUACAUGCCCUUGGCAGAUUAACGAGGACAAAUAUAAUACUAAAAGGAAUAUUUGUUUAGAUGUUUCUACUGGCAGAUGGCAGAUGGUGUCUUAUUGGGGUUUGCCUAUUCCAUUAACAUAGGGAAGAUCUGUUCUGCCAAAUUUCUUGGCAGUCAGCAAGAGUGGCAGCUUAAUGGGGGCCAUCUUAUCAGUGUUUGUUUGUAUAUACAUCACAUAGGACAAUCAACUGAAUUGACUGGGUGCAUUCACUUUAGUUUUCCAUUAGAAGACUCAGAAUUAAAUUAGAAACAUAGCUCUUGGAAAGUUUAUAUGUUAGGUCAGUGAAAUUUUUUGUUUCACUUAAUAUCAUUUCAGUUAAUGUUACAAUUUUCAAGAACUUAAGCCUGACAUUAAAUGAGGAUCCAUUGGAUUUAAUGUCAGGUAUAAGUAUUUAUAAUAUGUAUAAAUACCUAUACAGUGAUUAAGAUUAUAA